AACGAACGCUGGCGGCAGGCCUAACACAUGCAAGUCGAACGCCCCGCAAGGGGAGUGGCAGACGGGUGAGUAACGCGUGGGAAUCUACCGUACCCUACGGAACAACAGUUGGAAACGACUGCUAAUACCGUAUACGCCCUACGGGGGAAAGAUUUAUCGGGGUAUGAUGAGCCCGCGUUGGAUUAGCUAGUUGGUGGGGUAAGGGCCUACCAAGGCGACGAUCCAUAGCUGGGCUGAGAGGAUGAUCAGCCACAUUGGGACUGAGACACGGCCCAAACUCCUACGGGAGGCAGCAGUGGGGAAUAUUGGACAAUGGGCGCAAGCCUGAUCCAGCCAUGCCGCGUGAGUUAUGAAGGUCUUAGGAUUGUAAAGCUCUUUCCCCGAUGAAGAUAAUGACGGUAGUCGGAGAAGAAGCCCCGGCUAACUUCGUGCCAGCCGCCGCCGUAA
rnacentral:rRNA from 1 species